rnacentral:rRNA from 1 species
GUCUACUGCUAUGCCACCCUGAAUGUGCCCAAUCUAGUCUAAUCUAGGAAGCUAAGCAGGGUCAGGCCUGGUUAGUACUUGGAUGGGAGACUACCUAGGAAUAUCAGGUGCUGUAGGUG